rnacentral:precursor_RNA from 1 species
CCGCAGUGUGAUUUGGGGCCGGGAAUGCCGCGGCGGGGACGGCGAUUGGUCCGUAUGUGUGGUGCCACCGGCCGCCGGCUCCGCCCCGGCCCCCGCCCCACACGCCGCAUCACUUACA